GCCACAGGGACUUCUGGGCUAAGAUGAAGCUUGGCUCAUAUACCAGCAUGCCAGCCAUUCACAAGUCUCAAGACCCAGAUCUUGUCUCUAGCAUAUAGAAAAGGUGGUGGUGACUCCUCUGAUGCUGUUUACAAAAUCCAGAAGGGCUUCUAUGGGCUUUCCCCUACCUUCUAAACCUCAGAAACUACAACUUCCAUCCUAAUCUUAAAAUCUACCUUUCUCUAAUAUCAAUUAUUCAGGAAAAAUAUAUUUCCCCCAAAAGUGGAAAACUCAAAUUCA